rnacentral:rRNA from 1 species
GGGGGACUGCGGAGGGAUCAUUACACAAUAAAAUAUGAAGGCUGUACGCGGCUGUGCUCUCGGGCCAGUUUUGCGGAGGCUGAAUUAUUUAUUACCCUUGUCUUUUGCGCACUUGUUGUUUCCUGGGCGGGUUCGCCCGCCACCAGGACCACAUCAUAAACCUUUUUUAUGCAGUUGCAAUCAGCGUCAGUAUAACAAAUGUAAAUCAUUUACAACUUUCAACAACGGAUCUCUUGGUUCUGGCAUCGAUGAAGAACGCAGCGAAAUGCGAUACGUAGUGUGAAUUGCAGAAUUCAGUGAAUCAUCGAAUCUUUGAACGCACAUUGCGCCCUUUGGUAUUCCAAAGGGCAUGCCUGUUCGAGCGUCAUUUGUACCCUCAAGCUUUGCUUGGUGUUGGGCGUUUUUUGUCUUUGGUUGCCAAAGACUCGCCUUAAAAGGAUUGGCAGCCGGCCUACUGGUUUCGCAGCGCAGCACAUUUUUGCGCUUGCAAUCAGCAAAAGAGGACGGCAAUCCAUCAAGACUCCUUCUCACGUUUGACCUCGGAUCAGGUAGGGAUACCCGCUGAACUUAAGCAUAUCAAA